CAUGAUGAGCUUGAAUGUGAUUGCUGAAUCUGGGAAUAAUAGGAGGUCUAUAUGUCAAUGCUUAAUGGGCCUCAUCAAAUACCUACAAUGCUAACGCUACAGUCAUUGCUACUUUUCCAGGCUUUUGUGGAGUAAAUCUAGGGUUUGUUCUUGAUCCCAAUACAGAUUGCUCCUUUGUACCUCGAGUUGAGGUCAAGGAAAUUAUGACGCUUGUUCAAGGUGAUGCAGAUGGGAGACUGAAUAAGAAGCUUGUCUUCAAGUACAGUCACUGAAAAAUACAAAUAAGAGCAGGUCUGAGCUUGUGUAUUGAUGGAUUGACUAGUGAUUUUGUCCAUGGCGCUCGCUUCCUCGUUUUAAAGAUGCACUGCUAGUAAUUAUCGUUUGAACAGAUGCAUUCAUGAAUCGAGCAUAUCUUUUCACUUUAAGCUGUUUGUUUUUAAUCAUGCUUAAUCAAAGCAGAUCCAUAGUGAAGGACUCCCAAAACUAGAUAGGUUAAAAAGUUGGAUAUGUGAUCAAUUGCUACUUUUCACCGAAAGACACACAAAGUUAAUUGGCAUUUAGAAUGGAUUAGACAAGCUAAAUCACUAUUCUCUCAAGAACUAGUAAGAGCAAAUUCAAAGUUUAAUUGUUACCUUAAGAUUUAAUCUCA